UUGGAGUAGACACUCUGUGCCGGAGGUCUGUAGGCCAAAACAAUAGAAGUCCGGCACAGAGCGUCUAGUUCUGGA
rnacentral:pre_miRNA from 1 species